rnacentral:misc_RNA from 1 species
UCUCCGUAGGUGAACCUGCGGAGGGAUCAUUACAAGUGACCCCGGUCUUACCACCGGGAUGUUCAUAACCCUUUGUUGUCCGACUCUGUUGCCUCCGGGGCGACCCUGCCUUCGGGCGGGGGCUCGGGGUGGACACUUCAAACUCUUGCGUAACUUUGCAGUCUGAGUAAACUUAAUUAAUAAAUUAAAACUUUUAACAACGGAUCUCUUGGUUCUG